rnacentral:rRNA from 1 species
GGGUCAGCGACUUAUAUUCUGUAGCAAGGUUAACCGAAUAGGGGAGCCGAAGGGAAACCGAGUCUUAACUGGGCGUUAAGUUGCAGGGUAUAGACCCGAAACCCGGUGAUCUAGCCAUGGGCAGGUUGAAGGUUGGGUAACACUAACUGGAGGACCGAACCGACUAAUGUUGAAAAAUUAGCGGAUGACUUGUGGCUGGGGGUGAAAGGCCAAUCAAACCGGGAGAUAGCUGGUUCUCCCCGAAAGCUAUUUAGGUAGCGCCUCGUGAAUUCAUCUCCGGGGGUAGAGCACUGUUUCGGCAAGGGGGUCAUCCCGACUUACCAACCCGAUGCAAACUGCGAAUACCGGAGAAUGUUAUCACGGGAGACACACGGCGGGUGCUAACGUCCGUCGUGAAGAGGGAAACAACCCAGACCGCCAGCUAAGGUCCCAAAGUCAUGGUUAAGUGGGAAACGAUGUGGGAAGGCCCAGACAGCCAGGAUGUUGGCUUAGAAGCAGCCAUCAUUUAAAGAAAGCGUAAUAGCUCACUGGUCGAGUCGGCCUGCGCGGAAGAUGUAACGGGGCUAAACCAUGCACCGAAGCUGCGGCAGCGACACUAUGUGUUGUUGGGUAGGGGAGCGUUCUGUAAGCCUGUGAAGGUGGCCUGUGAGGGUUGCUGGAGGUAUCAGAAGUGCGAAUGCUGACAUAAGUAACGAUAAAGCGGGUGAAAAGCCCGCUCGCCGGAAGACCAAGGGUUCCUGUCCAACGUUAAUCGGGGCAGGGUGAGUCGACCCCUAAGGCGAGGCCGAAAGGCGUAGUCGAUGGGAAACAGGUUAAUAUUCCUGUACUUGGUGUUACUGCGAAGGGGGGACGGAGAAGGCUAUGUUGGCCGGGCGACGGUUGUCCCGGUUUAAGCGUGUAGGCUGGU